rnacentral:tRNA from 1 species
GGCCCCGUAGUGUAGCGGCCUAGCACGCUGCCCUCUCAAGGCGGUAACGCCGGUUCGAACCCGGUCGGGGCUAC